rnacentral:rRNA from 1 species
UACAGGGGGGGCAAGCGUUGUUCGGAAUUACUGGGCGUAAAGGGCUCGUAGGUGGCCAACUAAGUCGGACGUGAAAUCCCUCAGCUUAACUGGGGAACUGCGUCCGAUACUGGAUGGCUUGAGUUUGGGAGAGGGAUGCGGAAUUCCAGGUGUAGCGGUGAAAUGCGUAGAUAUCUGGAGGAACACCGGUGGCGAAGGCGGCAUCCUGGACCGACACUGACACUGAGGAGCGAAAGCCAGGGGAGCAAACGGG